UACGUAGGGUGCGAGCGUUAAUCGGGAUUACUGGGCGUACAGCGUGCUCAGGCGGUUUUGUAAGCCAGAUGUGAAAUCCCUGGGCUCAACCCAGGAACUGCGUCCGAUACUGGCAGGCUUGAAUUCGGGAGAGGGAUGUGGAAUUCCAGGUGUAGCGGUGAAAUGCGUAGAUAUCUGGAGGAACACCGGUGGCGAAGGCGGCAGCCUGGACCGAUAUUGACGCUGAGGCGCGAAAGCCAGGGGAGCAAACGGG
rnacentral:rRNA from 1 species